UUCCUACGGGGGGCAGCAGUGAGGAAUAUUGGUCAAUGGGCGGAAGCCUGAACCAGCCAUGCCGCGUGCAGGAAGACGGCCCUACGGGUUGUAAACUGCUUUUCCGGGGGAAGAAUAAGGCCCACGUGUGGGCCGAUGCCGGUACCCCGGGAAUAAGGAUCGGCUAACUCCGUGCCAGCAGCCGCGGUAAUACGGAGGAUCCGAGCGUUAUCCGGAUUUACUGGGUUUAAAGGGUGCGUAGGCGGGCGCUUAAGUCAGCGGUGAAAUGCGGGGGCUCAACCUUCGAACGGCCGUUGAUACUGGGCGCCUUGGAUUCGGUCGAGGCGGGCGGAAUGCGACAUGUAGCGGUGAAAUGCUUAGAUAUGUCGCAGAACGCCGAUUGCGAAGGCAGCUCGCCGGGCCGAUAUUGACGCUGAGGCACGAAAGCGUGGGGAUCGAACAGGAUUAGAUACCCGUGUAGUCCU
rnacentral:rRNA from 1 species